GAUGAAGAACGUAGCGAAAUGCGAUACGUAGUGUGAAUUGCAGAAUCCAGUGAAUCAUCGAAUCUUUGAACGCACAUUGCGCCCGCCAGUAUUCUGGCGGGCAUGCCUGUUCGAGCGUCAUUUCAACCCUCAAGCACAGCUUGGUGUUGGGACUCGCGUUAAUUCGCGUUCCUCAAAUUGAUUGGCGGUCACGUCGAGCUUCCAUAGCGUAGUAGUAAAACCCUCGUUACUGGUAAUCGUCGCGGCCACGCCGUUAAACCCCAACUUCUGAAUGUUGACCUCGGAUCAGGUAGGAAUACCCGCUGAACUUAAGCAUAUCAAUAAGCGGAGGA
rnacentral:misc_RNA from 1 species